rnacentral:rRNA from 1 species
UACGGAGGGUGCGAGCGUUGUCCGGAAUUAUUGGGCGUAAAGGGCGCGUAGGUGGCGGGACAAGCGUGCGGUGAAAGCCUGGGGCUCAACCCCGGGUCGGCCGUGCGAACUGUUUUGCUUGAGCACUGUAGAGGCAGGCGGAAUUCCCGGUGUAGCGGUGGAAUGCGUAGAGAUCCGGAAGAACACCGGUGGCGAAGGCGGCCUGCUGGGCAGUAGCUGACACUGAGGCGCGACAGCGUGGGGAGCGGACAGG